CACGCCGACUCGCGCAUAAGCCGUGCGCAAGAAGCCACGGGCUGCACAUAUACUAUGCGCAUAAUCCACACGGCGUCCCCAGUGCUAUGGCAACAAGCACCGGAAGUGACGCACCGGUGUCUCUACAACACAAAAAGCGAGCGCCUGCAGCAUGCUGUCACGGAUCGAGACGGCAAGGCUGCACACACAAGACUCCACUUCAGCAACCCAGAACUUAGCAACUACUAGAACUGGGUUGGAAAAGUAUGUUCCUUAGUGAAUUUGACGGUGACCUUGAAAGAAUAUAAAAUGCCUCCUUAAACUCAAAUAGUCCCAGCUGCUUCCACCAGAGAACCCACAAGUUCAUAAAGUAUAAAAGGCGGAAAACACUUUGCCACAAUUGAGUCACUUGAAGAGCAACAUAUGCCGUGCAGUCAUAAUGAAAAGUACAACUUGUUUGUUCGCAAAGAUUGUUAAAAGGUCCCUAAUUAAUUAGCAAGGAUCUGUUCUCUGGCGGCUUCGCACAUCCUACCCUCAGCUCCUACGUUUGUGGAGAAGAAAUUGUCUUUUUUCAUUAUACCAACUUGUUCACUUGAAAUAAAUAGACAAAGAAAUAUCCAAAGCUGCCUUCCAAAUUCUAAAAACAGAAGCCUUCUAACAAGAAAAUCAAUUGGCAAGAAUCAAGUAAUACAAAUA